rnacentral:rRNA from 1 species
AUGGCACACCACACGACCAUCGUAUUCUCGGCGGCAGCGGCGCUGCUGCUGCUGCUGCUACCGCCGUGUGCCGGAGCAGCAGCUGCACCGGUGCCGGUGAUAGGGAUGCCGGGCUGCGAGACCAGGUGCGGCGACAUGGUCGUGCCGUAUCCGUUCGGCAUGGGCCCGUCCUACUGCUACCUGCCGGGGUUUAACCUCACUUGCGAUUGGUUAAGCGACCCACCGCGGCUCCUCCUCGGCGACGGCACCCUCCAGGUCGCCGAAGACAUCGGCUACCCCAGCGAUGCCACGCUAGCCGUCGUCUACGCCGGCAACAUCCCGACCGACGGCAACGGGCAAGGCAGGCUCGGCGGUGGCCUCGGCGAUGGUGGGCCGUACGCGCUGCCGCCGGCCGGGAACCAGCUCGUCCUCGUGGGCUGCAACGUGCGGGCCACGCUGAGGAGCGGCAACCUCACAAUGAGCAGCUGCUCCUCCUUCUGCCACGACGGGCGCACAUCCUACAUGAAGUCUGGUAAGAGCAGCAUGCUCUGCUCCGGCAUGGGCUGCUGCCAGGCGCCCAUCGUCGUCAACCGCGAGGUGGCCGCCGGAGGAAAGCUCGUCCCCAUCACGUCCUACGACGUGGAGAUCGAGUGCUUUGGGCGGAACCGCAGCGACGGCCAGCGGUGGCCUGCACGCGUCUUCGUCGCCAAGAAAGGCUGGAUCACGACAUGGAGCGCCUCUAAACAACUGUCGUCGGACCCGCAAGCCGCCGCGGACAUGGAAGUUCCCCUUUGGCUCAACUGGGAGGUCAUCGAUGGCGAUGCCGACGACACAGGUCAGCUGCAGAGGUCGAAGGAGUGUCCUAAGGACGCGGCACGUAGAAUCUGCAAGAGCAACCACACGCGCUGCACAAGAGGUGACAGAGGCGGCUACUUGUGCUCCUGUAAGCAAGGUUACCAGGGCAAUGCCUACAUCACCAACGGAUGCCAAGGUUAA